rnacentral:rRNA from 1 species
ACUCCUACGGGAGGCAGCAGUGGGGAAUAUUGCACAAUGGGGGAAACCCUGAUGCAGCCAUGCCGCGUGUGUGAAGAAGGCCUUCGGGUUGUAAAGCACUUUCAGUAGGGAGGAAGGUAGUGUAGUUAACACCUGCACUAUUUGACGUUACCUACAGAAGAAGCACCGGCUAACUCCGUGCCAGCAGCCGCGGUAAUACGGAGGGUGCGAGCGUUAAUCGGAAUUACUGGGCGUAAAGCGCAUGCAGGCGGCCUGUUAAGUCAGAUGUGAAAGCCCGGGGCUUAACCUCGGAAUUGCAUUUGAAACUGGCAGGCUAGAGUCUUGUAGAGGGGGGUAGAAUUUCAGGUGUAGCGGUGAAAUGCGUAGAGAUCUGAAGGAAUACCAGUGGCGAAGGCGGCCCCCUGGACAAAGACUGACGCUCAGAUGCGAAAGCGUGGGGAGCAAACAGGAUUAGAUACCCUGGUAGGAUAGCG